rnacentral:lncRNA from 1 species
UUCUGGUAAUUCCUUGAAAAGUAUACACUAUUUGAAAUAGAUUUGGAGUAACCCUUUUGUUUUCUCCAUUAGUGAGCAGAGAUGCACGGAUUUCUCUGCUGGGGUCUCUGAGUACCCUGUGCAGUGUUUCAAUGCCCACCACCAGAUCUCAGAUAUAAGUUCAAGGUGUGGGUAUAAAGAAAAACUCAAAUAUGUGGAGGACUUUUUGCUAAACUGGAUUUCACCAUCAUGGGCUCAGGACUGAGGAUACUGGUGGUGACAGUAAGCCAAGGCCACAAGCAGGGAAGUGAGCAUGGGAGCACGUUUUUUUUCUGUUGUGGCUACUUCAAAAACAGUACCAAGAGCAGCAUGCAAGGAAGAAAAGAGACAACCAUGGGAAAGGGAGUCCCCGAGGUGCUAGUAGAUCUUGGCUGGACUGUAAUUACCAACAGAAAGCACAAUUUUUACCAUCUCUUGAUAUAUCCAGGCUUCAAAUCAAAAGUUUUGCACUGAUUUGAUGAUUCAUCUGAAUGAGAUUACAAAACUCAAAAACAAGUUAAGAUUAGAAGCAGAAGUCUUGUGAGGAGACUGUGACCCUUUGACUACAACUUCUUAGAAGACAGUAAGAGUGGAAAGACUUCGACCAUGUAUAUUGAUGCCCCUUCUUUUUGAGGUAUAGAUGUAGCAAUCAAAAUGAGGAGCUCAAAGGACUUUGAGAGUCACUUUGGUGACCUUUGUUUUAAAUGUUUCAAAUGAAACAUUUCUUCUGCAAUAUGAAAUAGUUAAGAAAGACUUUUCUUUUUCUUUAGCCUAUAUUUAAGUGUUUACAAGUAGUUUUAAAAGACAUAGGAUGAGGAAGUUUUCUCAGUGGGUAUUCUCACAGUCUACAUUAAAAAUUUUAAUAAAACCCUCAUAUUCUUAUUAUAGCA